rnacentral:tRNA from 1 species
GAGGGUAUAGCUCAGUGGUGGAGUGAGUGCAUGCUUAGCACGCACAAGGUCCUGGGUUCAAUCCCCAGCACCUCCA